GUGCUCCCUUCAGCAGCACAUAUACUAAAAUUGGAAUGAUACACAAAAGAUUACCAUGACCCCAGUGCGAGGAUGACAUGCACAUUCAUGAAGUAUUCCAUAGUUUU